rnacentral:rRNA from 1 species
AUUGAACGCUGGCGGCAUGCUUUACACAUGCAAGUCGAACGGCAGCACGGACUUCGGUCUGGUGGCGAGUGACGAACGGGUGAGUAAUACAUCGGAACGUGCCCAGUUGUGGGGGAUAACUACUCGAAAGAGUAGCUAAUACCGCAUGAGAACUGAGGUUGAAAGCAGGGGAUCGUAAGACCUUGCGCAACUGGAGCGGCCGAUGGCAGAUUAGGUAGUUGGUGGGAUAAAAGCUUACCAAGCCGACGAUCUGUAGCUGGUCUGAGAGGACGACCAGCCACACUGGGACUGAGACACGGCCCAGACUCCUACGGGAGGCAGCAGUGGGGAAUUUUGGACAAUGGGCAAAAGCCUGAUCCAGCAAUGCCGCGUGCAGGAUGAAGGCCUUCGGGUUGUAAACUGCUUUUGUACGGAACGAAAAGCUUCGGGUUAAUACCCUGGAGUCAUGACGGUACCGUAAGAAUAAGCACCGGCUAACUACGUGCCAGCAGCCGCAGUAAAAC